rnacentral:rRNA from 1 species
GGCGCAAGGGGAUGGGCCUGCGUCCUAUCAGCUUGUUGGCAGGGUAACGGCCUACCAAGGCUACGACGGGUAGCUGGUCUGAGAGGAUGAUCAGCCACACUGGCACUGAAACACGGGCCAGACUCCUACGGGAGGCAGCAGUGAGGAAUUUUGCGCAAUGGCCGCAAGGCUGACGCAGCAACGCCGCGUGGGUGACGAAGGCCUUCGGGUCGUAAAGCCCUGUCUGGUGGGAAGAAUGGGCGGGGAAUUAAUAAUUUUCCGCAGUGACGGUACCACCGAAGGAAGCACCGGCUAACUCCGUGCCAGCAGCCGCGGUAAUACGGAGGGUGCAAGCGUUAUUCGGAAUUACUGGGCGUAAAGCGCGUGCAGGCGGGCCGGCAAGUCUGAUGUGAAAGCCCCGGGCUCAACCCGGGAAGUGCAUUGGAAACUGUUGGUCUUGAGUUCUGGAGAGGAUGGGGGAAUUCCCGGUGUAGAGGUGAAAUUCGUAGAGAUCGGGAGGAAUACCAGUGGCGAAGGCGCCCAUCUGGACAGAAACUGACGCUGAGACGCGAAAGCGUGUGGAGCAAACAGGAUUAGAUACCCUGGUAGUCCACGCUGUAAACGAUGAGCACUAGGUGUAGCGGGUACUCAUUCCUGCUGUGCCGCAGCUAACGCGUUAAGUGCUCCGCCUGGGGAUUACGGUCGCAAGACUA